rnacentral:rRNA from 1 species
GAACUGUGCGAACGUUAUUCGGAAUCACUGGGCUUACAGGGUGCGUAGGCGGCUUUUCAGGUCAGGUGUGAAAGCCCCCGGCUCAACCGGGGAACUGCGCUUGAAACCGAAAGGCUCGAGUCAGCUAGAGGUACACGGAACUUCCAGUGGAGCGGUGAAAUGUGUUGAUAUUGGAAGGAACACCGGAGGCGAAAGCGGUGUACUGGGGCUGGUCUGACGCUGAGGCACGAAAGCCAGGGGAGCGAACGGGAUUAGAUACCCCGGUAGUCCUGGCCGUAAACGAUGAGUGCUGGACGGGAGGGGGUUCGCCCUCUCCGGUCGGAGCGAAAGCGGGAAGCACGCCGCCUGGGGAGUAUGGUCGCAAGGCUG